UCAGAGUGAAAAUGGCCCCCGGUGCACCAGUGACCUGGGGUCAGACAGCUGGGCCUAGAGCACUGUGUGCAUUUAGCUUAUUGCGCGUCUCCUGGUGGCUGCGUAAUGAAACCCUUGCACCAACACGC